UACGGGGGGGGCAAGCGUUGUUCGGAAUUACUGGGCGUAAAGGGCUCGUAGGCGGCCAACUAAGUCAUACGUGAAAUCCCUCGGCUUAACCGGGGAACUGCGUCUGAUACUGGAUGGCUUGAGUUCGGGAGAGGGAUGCGGAAUUCCAGGUGUAGCGGUGAAAUGCGUAGAUAUCUGGAGGAACACCGGUGGCGAAGGCGGCAUCCUGGACCGGUAUUGACGCUGAGGCGCGAAAGCCAGGGCAGCAAACGGG
rnacentral:rRNA from 1 species